UACGGGGGGGGCAAGCGUUGUUCGGAAUUACUGGGCGUAAAGGGCUCGUAGGUGGCCAACUAAGUCAUGCGUGAAAUCCCUCGGCUUAACCGGGGAACUGCGUCUGAUACUGGAUGGCUUGAGUUUGGGAGAGGGAUGCGGAAUUCCAGGUGUAGCGGUGGAAUGCGCAGAUAUCAGGAGGAACACCGAUGGCGAAGGCAGCUCGCUGGGACGGUACUGACGCUGAGGCGCGAAAGCGUGGGGAGCGAACAGG
rnacentral:rRNA from 1 species